AAAAUUCGUGGGUGUGAUGAAUGGGUGUUCAUACCUUAUGCCAAAGAUGUGCUUCUCUCAAACCUUGUUACGACGUGGGCACAUGACCUGUCUGACG